rnacentral:rRNA from 1 species
GACAGAGGGUGCGACCGUUGUUCGGAAUUACUGGGCGUAAAGCGCGUGUAGGCGGCCCUGCAAGUCGGAUGUGAAAUCCCACGGCUCAACCGUGGAAGUGCAUUCGAAACUGCAGGGCUAGAGUCCUGGAGAGGAAGGUGGAAUGCUUGGUGUAGAGGUGAAAUUCGUAGAUAUCAAGCGGAACACCGGUGGCGAAGGCGGCCUUCUGGACAGUGACUGACGCUGAGACGCGAAAGCGUGGGGAGCAAACAGG